rnacentral:rRNA from 1 species
UGGGGAAUCUUGCGCAAUGGGCGAAAGCCUGACGCAGCCAUGCCGCGUGAGUGAAGAAGGUCUUAGGAUUGUAAAGCUCUUUCGCCCGUGACGAUGAUGACGGUAACGGGAGAAGAAGCCCCGGCUAACUUCGUGCCAGCAGCCGCGGUAAUACGAAGGGGGCUAGCGUUGUUCGGAAUUACUGGGCGUAAAGCGCGCGUAGGCGGUUUUGCAAGCCAGAGGUGAAAUGCCUGAGCUCAACUCAGGAAUGGCCUUUGGGACUGCGAGGCUUUGAGGACUGGAGAGGUGAGUGGAAUUCCCAGUGUAGAGGUGAAAUUCGUAGAUAUUGGGAAGAACACCGGUGGCGAAGGCGGCUCACUGGCCAGUUUCUGACGCUGCAGCGCGAAAGCGUGGGGAUCAAACAGGAUUAGAUACCCCCGUAGUCC